UACGUAGGGCGCAAGCGUUGUCCGGAAUUAUUGGGCGUAAAGAGCUCGUAGGCGGUCUGUCGCGUCCGUUGUGAAAACUCGAGGCUCAACCUCGGGCUUGCAGUGGAUACGGGCAGACUAGAGUGCGGUAGGGGAGACUGGAAUUCCUGGUGUAGCGGUGGAAUGCGCAGAUAUCAGGAGGAACACCGAUGGCGAAGGCAGGUCUCUGGCCGCAACUGACGCUGAGGAGCGAAAGCAUGGGGAGCGAUCGG
rnacentral:rRNA from 1 species